rnacentral:rRNA from 1 species
CCUACGGGAGGCAGCAGUGGGGGAUAUUGCACAAUGGAGGCAACUCUGAUGCAGCAACGCCGCGUGAGGGAAGACGGUCUUCGGAUUGUAAAACUCUGUCUUUAGGGAAGAAAAUGACGGUACCCAAAGAGAAUCCACCGGCUAACUACGUUCCCGCAGCCGCGGUACUACGUAAGGAGCGAGCGUUGUCCGGAAUUACUUGGAGUAAAGGGAGCGUAGGCGGGCGGGAAAGUUAAAUGUUAAAUCUACAGUCUUAACUUGUAGCUGCGUUCAAAACUUCUUGUCUUGAGUGAAGGCGAGGCAGGCGGAAUUCCUAGUGUAGCGGUGAAAUGCGUAGAUAUUAGGAGGAACACCAGUGGCGAAGGCGGACUGCUGGGCUUUAACUGACGCUGAGGCUCGAAAGCGUGGGGAGCAAACAGGAUUAGAUACCCCGGUAGUC